GCGUCGGUGGUACAACGGUUUAGCACAUGCUCCCGGAAAGAGUAAGAUCUGAAUUCGAAUCCCGGUCGACGCA